AUCUAAAUAGCUUAUACAAGAGCGUAAUAUUGAAGAUAUUAAGGAAAUAUGAUUAUUUUUAGGUA
rnacentral:tRNA from 1 species